GUCCGAGGUCCGCGGGGAGAGCAGGGCAGGCCCGCGGAUUCCGACCCCCAGCGCCGCGGGCACGCGUCACCACGGAGGCGGGUCGGAGCUAUUACUGCCAAGCCAGGGGCAGGCGACGCCCGGCGGGGCCGCAGGGCUCGGAAAGCUUCGCAGAGGCUUGGACUUCGGCUGGGUCUGCAGAAUUCGACUGAAGGAGAAGGUGAAAGGAGGUUCCAGGCGGAGCCACGAGUCCCCUCUAGCCUAGCCCGUCACUGCAGAGAGGAAAGGGUCAGGUGGGGAAACCCAGCCCCUCUCAGCAGGGCGUCUCCCGGGUCCGAGCUCCUCUGUUCCCCGGCGCCACCAGAGUGACCUAGGGCUGCGCAUCUCUGCAAGGGUGGGGCCGGGUGAGGCCCAGUGGACGGGCGCGCCCCGUGCGGAAAGGCGCGUGCAGGUUGGUUCAAGGCCUCAAUCGAAGCCUCCUCCUCCUCCUUCGCUUUUUGGUUCAGGGCUCCAGAGGGACUUCCUGGGCACCUCCUCCCAAUCCGAGGAGCCCGAGCCCCGGAAGGCCAGCCGAUUCUCCGUGACCAGACAGUUCAGUUCCACGCGAAGGGGAAGCAUCCUCGGAACCGCCCGGGCAACGCAGGUUCCGCGGGGCGGGCGCCGCCUCCCACCAGACAGGCCCGGGGCGGUCAGAGCCCGCCUGGCAGGGAGCGCACCGACAGCUCCGGGAGAGCCUGGCAACCCUCGGGGUGAGAACCCAAACUUGAAGAGCCAGCAGUCCUGAAGAUCUCCACCUGGGCGCGGAGCCAGGCCCAGCGCGCAGCGCGCAACGCGGAGGUCUUUCCCCACUUUCCAUGGCUCUUCUUGCAGAAUUCUCAGCUGACUGGGUAGGACUGAAGCACCCUGAAGCGGAGAAGGAUUUGGACUCAGUAGAAAGGAGGGGGAAGCAUUCCAGGUGGGUAGCUGUGAGUUUACGGGUGGCUGUCUGAGGAGGGACUGAAACCCUGAGCAAUGUCGUCAGCCUCAGCCACCUCACGCCCCUGUGCUGCAGCCACCCUGAAUUUUCCCACUCUGAACCCACUGGGCGAUUUCUGCUGCUUUGUCUGCCUUUGCAAAGCUUUUCCCUCUGCCUGGACCACACUUUUGCGAUGGUGUAUAAUAAACUGAUUGUAGAAGACAGAGUUUAUUUUCAAAAGGAAGUUUUAUUCUCCCAUACUUAGCC
rnacentral:lncRNA from 1 species